ACGCUCGACACCUACGGGGGCAGCAGUGGGGAAUAUUGCACAAUGGGGGAAACCCUGAUGCAGCGACGCCGCGUGAGUGAAGAAGUAUUUCGGUAUGUAAAGCUCUAUCAGCAGGGAAGAGAAUGACGGUACCUGACUAAGAAGCCCCGGCUAACUACGUGCCAGCAGCCGCGGUAAUCUGAGGCGGGCUGGCAAGGC
rnacentral:rRNA from 1 species